rnacentral:rRNA from 1 species
GGUUAAGUCCCGCAACGAGCGCAACCCUCGCCUCUAGUUGCCAGCAUUCGGUUGGACACUCUAGAGGGACUGCCGGCGACAAGUCGGAGGAAGGUGGGGAUGACGUCAAAUCAUCAUGCCCCUUAUGACCUGGGCUACACACGUGCUACAAUGGGCGGUACAAAGGGCUGCGAACCCGCGAGGGGGAGCGAAUCCCAAAAAGCCGCUCUCAGUUCGGAUUGCAGGCUGCAACUCGCCUGCAUGAAGCCGGAAUCGCUAGUAAUCGCGGAUCAGCAUGCCGCGGUGAAUACGUUCCCGGGCCUU